GAUGAACGCUAGCUACAGGCUUAACACAUGCAAGUCGAGGGGCAGCAUUAUCUUAGCUUGCUAAGAUAGAUGGCGACCGGCGCACGGGUGAGUAACACGUAUCCAACCUUCCGGUUACUCGGGGAUAGCCUUUCGAAAGAAAGAUUAAUACCCGAUAGCAUAAUGAUUCCGCAUGGUUUCAUUAUUAAAGGAUUCCGGUAAAGGAUGGGGAUGCGUUCCAUUAGGUUGUUGGUGAGGUAACGGCCCACCAAGCCUUCGAUGGAUAGGGGUUCUGAGAGGAAGGUCCCCCACAUUGGAACUGAGACACGGUCCAA
rnacentral:rRNA from 1 species